GCACGGUUCUCAGUGAACAUACUCCACGGCGCUCGCGGUGCCCACUCACUGCAUCUCUGCACCUCGCUACCGGACUAGCAUGUGCACAACACAAGUCAAAUUUAGCCCGGGCCUCUCCAGGAAGCAGAUGGCGGGAACUCCCUGCAAAUAACCAGAGAUGGGAGAGGAAAUGGGGCUGCUGAUUUGAGGGAAUCGCUCUGGUGCCAAUCAGGUCAACGCGCCUCUUUUUGUUCCUUUUCCUGCUCAAGUCCGAUUUUUGGAAAUGCUCCGAUUGCCUCUUUGACUUCUGAAACGGCCUUAAUUAAAACCGGCUCUUGAUGAGUGAAUGAAGUGGUUUAAUUCCUGGUUGCAUCAACCCCCUGUCACAACCUUCCAAGGACUUGAGGAAAUAAAACUUAAUGCUAGAAACAUUCUUCAGAUAUAUCCUACAAUGUAAGAAAACGCUGCAGAAGACGGAACCGCCCAAACUAACACGUCAGCGAGACAAGCAGAGAAGGCCGAUGAGCUGUCGAGUCAAAUGGCCUCUAGAUGAAAUGCUGUCCCGCGGAGCACUUGGCAGCGAUCAGCGCAACCAGCGCCGUGGAGCAGGAUUCCAGUGGGCAUCCUCCUCCAACACAUACCAGCACAUGUACAGAGCAGGGGAACCGGCCCUGGUUCUCCAGAACCGCCGCCCCGACCCGGGACAGAGACACAACCUCCCGUUUGUCCAGCACUGCUGCUGUUUGACCUACAGAGACCCAGGUGUGUGUGUGUGUGUGUGUGUGUGUGUGUGUGUGUGUGUGUGUGGCUGCAGCAGUUCUGUCUAGGGAACGCAGCGGUGACAACAGGCUCAUUUGCUGCAUGAUUAUCAGCGGGGUUGUUGCAAGUGGGAGAAGGAAGAAAGGCCGCCUCCGUACGCGCUCGCUCACAAACAAACAGGAACGCUGGCUUGUUCAAGCCAAUUAUGCAGGCCAGUAACCUGCCAUAUGGCUGCUGCUGGUUCACUGUGUGUGUGUGCGCGCGUGUGUGCAUGUGUGUGCAUGCAUAUGUGUGUGUGUGUGUGUGUGUGUGUG